UGCCCCAGUAACGGCGAGUGAAGCGGCAACAGCUCAAAUUUGAAAUCUGGCCCCCGGCCCGAGUUGUACUUUGCAAAGGAUGCUUCUGGCGCGGUGCCUUCCAAGUCCCCUGGAACGGGGCGCCGGAGAGGGUGAGAGCCCCGUACGGUCGGCCGCCAAGCCUGUGUGAAGCUCCUUCGACGAGUCGAGUAGUUUGGGAAUGCUGCUCUAAGCGGGAGGUAGACCCCUUCUAAAGCUAAAUACCGGCCAGAGACCGAUAGCGCACAAGUAGAGUGAUCGAAAGAUGAAAAGCACUUUGAAAAGAGGGUUAAACAGCACGUGAAAUUGUUGAAAGGGAAGCGCUCGUGCCCAGACGUGCGCUGGGGCGAUCAUCCGGCGUUNCGCCGGUGCANNCGCCCCGGCGCAGGCCAGCGUCGGCUCGGGUGGGGGGACAAAGGCGUCUGGAACGUGGCCCUCCGGGGGUGUUACAGCCAGGCGCGCCAUGCUCCGCCCGGGCCGAGGUCCGCGCUCUGCAAGGACGCUGGCGUAAUGGGCACCGGCGGCCCGUCUUGAAACACGGACCAAGGAGUCGAGGUCUUGCGCGAGUGUCUGGGUGCCAAACCCGCACGCGCAAUGAAAGUGAACGCAGGUGGGAGCUUCGGCGCACCACCGACCGAUCCUGAUGUUCUCGGAUGGAUUUGAGUAGGAGCGUGGGGCCUCGGACCCGAAAGAUGGUGAACUAUGCUUGGAUAGGGUGAAGCCAGAGGAAACUCUGGUGGAGGCUCGCAGCGGUUCUGACGUGCAAAUCGAUCGUCAAAUCUGAGCAUGGGGGCGAAAGACUAAUCGAACCAUCUAGUAGCUGGUUACCGCCGAAGUUUCCCUCAGGAUAGC
rnacentral:rRNA from 1 species